UACGUAGGUGGCAAGCGUUGUCCGGAUUUAUUGGGCGUAAAGAGCUCGUAGGCGGUUUGGUAAGUCGGAUGUGAAAUCUCCAGGCUCAACCUGGAGGGGUCAUUCGAGACUGCUAUGACUAGAGUUCGGUAGAGGAGUGUGGAAUUCCUGGUGGAGCGGUGAAAUGCGCAGAUAUCAGGAGGAACACCCGUAGCGAAGGCGGCACUCUGGGCCGAUACUGACGCUGAGGAGCGAAAGCGUGGGGAGCGAACAGG
rnacentral:rRNA from 1 species